AGUGAACGCUGGCGGUAGGCCUAACACAUGCAAGUCGAACGGCAGCACAGUAAGAGCUUGCUCUUACGGGUGGCGAGUGGCGGACGGGUGAGGAAUACAUCGGAAUCUACUUUUUCGUGGGGGAUAACGUAGGGAAACUUACGCUAAUACCGCAUACGACCUACGGGUGAAAGCAGGGGAUCUUCGGACCUUGCGCGAUUGAAUGAGCCGAUGUCGGAUUAGCUAGUUGGCGGGGUAAAGGCCCACCAAGGCGACGAUCCGUAGCUGGUCUGAGAGGAUGAUCAGCCACACUGGAACUGAGACAGGGUCCAUACUACUACGGGAGGCAGCAGUGGGGAAUAUUGGACAAUGGGCGCAAGCCUGAUCCAGCCAUACCGCGUGGGUGAAGAGGGCCUUCGGGUUGUAAAGCCCUUUUGUUGGGAAAGAAAAGCAGCAGGUUAAUACCCCGCUGUUCUGACGGUACCCAAAGAAUAAGCACCGGCUAACUUCGUG
rnacentral:rRNA from 1 species